rnacentral:tRNA from 1 species
AUUAGGGUGGCAGAGCCCGGUUACUGCAAAAGACCUAAACUCUUUCCACGGGGGUUCAAUUCCCCUCCCUAAAU